GAUCAUGGGCUCAGAUUGAACGCUGGCGGCAUGCCUUACACAUGCAAGUCGAACGGUAACAGGUCUUCGGACGCUGACGAGUGGCGAACGGGUGAGUAAUACAUCGGAACGUGCCCAGUCGUGGGGGAUAACUACUCGAAAGAGUAGCUAAUACCGCAUACGAUCUGAGGAUGAAAGCGGGGGACCUUCGGGCCUCGCGCGAUUGGAGCGGCCGAUGGCAGAUUAGGUAGUUGGUGGGAUAAAAG
rnacentral:rRNA from 1 species